UACAGAGGGUGCAAGCGUUAAUCGGAAUUACUGGGCGUAAAGGGCGCGUAGGCGGAUGAAUAAGUUAGGUGUGAAAUACCUGGGCUUAACCUGGGAGUGGCACUUAAUACUGUUGAUCUAGAGCAGAGUAGAGGGAAGUGGAAUUUCCGGUGUAGCGGUGAAAUGCGUAGAGAUCGGAAAGAACACCAGUGGCGAAGGCGAUCAUCUGGGGCUGUUCUGACGCUGAGGAGCGAAAGCUAGGGGAGCAAACGGG
rnacentral:rRNA from 1 species